rnacentral:rRNA from 1 species
ACACAUGCAAGUCGAGGGGCAGCAUGGUCUUAGCUUGCUAAGGCCGAUGGCGACCGGCGCACGGGUGAGUAACGCGUAUCCAACCUGCCUUACACUCUUGGACAGCCUUCUGAAAGGGAGAUUAAUACAAGAUGUUAUCAUGAGUAAGCAUUUUCGCAUGAUUAAAGGUUUACCGGUGUAAGAUGGGGAUGCGUUCCAUUAGAUAGUAGGCGGGGUAACGGCCCACCUAGUCUUCGAUGGAUAGGGGUUCUGAGAGGAAGGUCCCCCACAUUGGAACUGAGACACGGUCCAAACUCCUACGGGAGGCAGCAGUGAGGAAUAUUGGUCAAUGGACGAGAGUCUGAACCAGCCAAGUAGCGUGAAGGAUGAAGGUUCUAUGGAUUGUAAACUUCUUUUAUACGGGAAUAAACGGAUCCACGUGUGGAUUUUUGCAUGUACCGUAUGAAUAAGGAUCGGCUAACUCCGUGCCAGCAGCCGCGGUAAUACGGAGGAUCCGAGCGUUAUCCGGAUUUAUUGGGUUUAAAGGGAGCGUAGAUGGGUUGUUAAGUCAGUUGUGAAAGUUUGCGGCUCAACCGUAAAAUUGCAAUUGAUACUGGCAGUCUUGAGUACAGUUGAGGUAGGCGGAAUUCGUGGUGUAGCGGUGAAAUGCUUAGAUAUCACGAAGAACUCCGAUUGCGAAGGCAGCUUACUAACCUGUAACUGACAUUGAUGCUCGAAAGUGUGGGUAUCAAACAGGAUUAGAUACCCUGGUAGUCCACACGGUAAACGAUGAAUACUCGCUGUAGGCGAUAUACGGUCUGCGGCCAAGCGAAAGCAUUAAGUAUUCCACCUGGGGAGUACGCCGGCAACGGUGAAACUCAAAGGAAUUGACGGGGGCCCGCACAAGCG